ensembl:miRNA
AGCCUGAGGUUCCAACAGGCGUCUGUCUACGUGGCUUCAACCAAGUUCAAAGUCACGUGGAGAGAUGGCUUUGGAACCAGGGGCU